GAUGAUGCUGGGUUAUUGGUGUUUGCUCAUAUUUUGGUAAUAAAGUAUGCUUAAUUAGUUUGAUUAAUUGAAUUAAAUAACUAAUUAUUGUUGAUUAGUUUUAGUAUCUUUUGAGUAUGGAAUAAAUGUAUUUUCCUUAAGUUAUUGAUGAUGAUUAUGUUGUUAACCCUUGUUGAUGCAUUAUGUGUUGAUGAUUAAUGAUGAUGGUUGUUGAUGUUAAUUAAUGAUUGAUGUAUUAUCAUUAUGUUGGAUGAAUUAUUGAUGAAUAAAUCUUAUUGAAGAUUAGUGUGAUUACGUGAUGAUGUAUCAGUGACGAUUCAUAAUGUUAUUGAUUUAUGAUGUUGAAUUAUCAUGUUGAUUUAUUGAUGAUGAUGAAUGAUGAUUUAUCAUGAGUAGAGUUAUUCUAAAGACGAUGAUUUAGAAUAUUUGGAUUAUGUUAUCCAUAUUAUGUUGAUGUUAUAAUUGAGAUAAAACCAUAUGUUUGGUAUAUGCACAUUCAUAAGUUGUGUCUAUUGAUGAGUAUCCUAGAGACGAUGAUCUAGUUUACUGUUAUUCUAGAGACGAUGAUCUAGAAUGUUUUAGAGACGAUGAUCACUUGGUUUAAGUUAUCCAAGAUUAUGAAGAAUUGGUACCACAUGCAUAUAGAUAUGUCUAAGUGACAUCAUAUCUAUGUGACAUUAGAAUGCAUUAGGAAUUGUGUGAUAUUCUUAAAUGUUAAAUAGUACUCGACGUUGUGUAUUUCAUUUAUUUGUUCGAGAGUUUGUACUUCUAAAAUGUGACGAGUAAUUGAUAAAUGAAUAUGUAUGAAUAUAUUUGAUAUAUGUCUUAUACAUGUCUGAGUAGAUCUAUACAUGUCUGUAUAUGUGGUGAUUAUCUGAGUUGAAUUUACUCAAUUGUAUUUAUUUUACUCAGUGUCUGAUAUGCGUUAUAUUCAGUCACUGUUAAUAAUUGUGUUAUCUAAUCCUCCGUUUUGUGUUUGUGCUGAACCGUUGGGUGUUUAGGUUCUCAGGUUGUAUGUUUGUUGGUGUUCGAGUUGUUGGUGAAAGCUCCGCUCUGAUUGUGACACGGGGAAGGGUUUAUUGAGUCUUGUACUUGUAUUCUUAUUUUAUUGUAAAUGUAUUAUUUAGAAAACAAUUUUUAUUAAGCGAUGUUUAUGCUAAUUAGCAAUGUUCUUGAAGUAUGUAAUACCUUAAACCACUAUUUUAUAUUUUAUCUCCGACUUCGAGUCGUUUUAAUUUUAUUAUCCGCUGCGUAUUUU
rnacentral:lncRNA from 1 species